CUAAUCCUGGUCGGACAUCAGGAGGUUAGUGCAAUGGCAUAAGCCAGCUUGACUGCGAGCGUGACGGCGCGAGCAGGUGCGAAAGCAGGUCAUAGUGAUCCGGUGGUUCUGAAUGGAAGGGCCAUCGCUCAACGGAUAAAAGGUACUCCGGGGAUAACAGGCUGAUACCGCCCAAGAGUUCAUAUCGACGGCGGUGUUUGGCACCUCGAUGUCGGCUCAUCACAUCCUGGGGCUGAAGUAGGUCCCAAGGGUAUGGCUGUUCGCCAUUUAAAGUGGUACGCGAGCUGGGUUUAGAACGUCGUGAGACAGUUCGGUCCCUAUCUGCCGUGGGCGCUGGAGAACUGAGGGGGGCUGCUCCUAGUACGAGAGGACCGGAGUGGACGCAUCACUGGUGUUCGGGUUGUCAUGCCAAUGGCACUGCCCGGUAGCUAAAUGCGGAAGAGAUAAGUGCUGAAAGCAUCUAAGCACGAAACUUGCCCCGAGAUGAGUUCUCCCUGAGACUUAAAGUCUCCUGAAGGAACGUUGAAGACGACGACGUUGAUAGGCCGGGUGUGUAAGCGCAGCGAUGCGUUGAGCUAACCGGUACUAAUGAACCGUGAGGCUUAACCUUACAACGCCGAAG
rnacentral:rRNA from 1 species